rnacentral:lncRNA from 1 species
GUGAGGCAGGGAUGGGGACACCCUGCCUUCCUCUAUUUGUCGCACCUUUACUUGCUGAGGAUGAGAUUCUGCUCUUGGGGGGUUAGAUAGCAAAGCUGGAAUAACUAGGUGACCCUUCUGGGGUCACCUGUAGGGGAUCUCGCCAGAGAGUGCAGUGGGAGAGGAGCACCAGGCCGGAACGUCCAACGUGACUCCCUUAGGAGAAUCUAGAGAGGGGAGCGCCUUCAAAGAGACUAGCUUCCCUCCGCAACCCACCGCUCCUCCCUCCCCUCUCGGUUUCUCCUAGCCCCAUCUGGUUCCCAUUACACUCCCGCCCACGGCUAAGAGGGCUGGAGAGGGGAGGCGGGGGCUCUAGGCCUGGGGAAAUGAAGAAGGCCGCGGGAAGUGAGCGAGUUGACCACGGGCGAGGGUCCCCUAGUCCGAAACCUCAGGCUCGCCCCGCCGUUCUGCACUUCUGAGUGGUGGGCCCGGCCGGCGAGGGUGGCUUGGUCCGGAUCUACAUUCCGGCGUGGCUAGGGGACCUUUCGUCUCUGGUGGGGGCAGGGGAGGAGGAGUGAGUUAUUGGUGAAGGUUUGUAUCGGGGCUCUAUGUGUGGAUUUAAAAAUAUAUACAUUUAAAAAAUCAUUGACUUGUCAGGCCCGCCAGAGGCCCAGAGCGCCCCCGCAGCCCGCAGCCAGAGCUGCUGAGAGAUGUUUUUACCGUGCCGAAUGUGGCUCACUCAGCAAGGUUCUUCUCAAACUCACCUACCUGGACCCGAUCUUUCUAGACCCUUUCCUGUCCUCCGUGGCCUCAUGGGUCUUUGUACACCACUUCAGUUAGUUGCUUGUUUCACCCUCAGCUCGGGACCUCUCCAUGGUAGGCCUGAUACCUGGUGGGUCUUCUUAAAUGAAUGAAUGGAGGAUGCUGUUUACACGUCAGAGCAAUUUUGAAAAGGGAAAUAAAUACAGAUUUCAC